CCUGACAAUCGUUCUAAUGAUAAAUUAAGAUUUUAGUUUAGCUACUACUUUUUAUGUUUUUAACAUAGCAAAGAUGCCUGAGAGUCAGAAUUAUCUGUUUACUGAUUACAAGAUUUGUAACGAUUGUUUUGUUCUUUACUGAGCCAGGGAAGGAUAAAGCUGCAUGCUAUAGACACUUAGAACAAGUGGCAAGGACCAAAAACCUUGAUCUUCAGUAGCCAAUUGCCUUAUAAAACUGGUACAGCUACAAAACCAGAGAAGGAGACUGCAGGCCAUGGAAGAAAACUGGAACAAGGGAAGGAAGUGUUGCCUAGCAACUGGGCAUGGCCAGUGGGCAUUUGCAUAUGUACAGAGAUAUUGCUACACAACCUGGUUAAUCCACUGUCUGACAUUUAUUAUAGUAUUGUAGUAUAUAGUAUCCCAAGGAAGAGUCCAAGACAAUGAGGAAUUUCUAAACUUUGAACACAAACUACACUACAUGAUCUGUAACCAUGUGAGCUCGGAGACCAUGAAGAAAGUCUUGGCCAGGUGAGGAGCGAAGAGAUCUACCACCACCCAGAUGGCAGCAAGUAUACAGUUUGGAUGAAUAACAUGAACAAGAUCCAGAUGUGUCAAGAGUCCUUGACUGCAUUAAGAUUCUUGUUGGCUGGAAGACAAGGAAAACACUACACCUACUCCAAAUGAUGAGGUAUCAACCUUAGGAAGAAUGGAAAUUUGUAAUCCUGAUAAUGAAAAGCUGGGACAGAAGAUGACUGAAGGCCUAAACUGCAGAAGUUGGCUAAUCUUGGAAGGGAGGGGGAAUGGCCGUCCUGCCCCCUCCCAUAGACAUGAAUGGAGGGGGCAUGGUGUGACAUCACAAGGGGGCGUGGUUUUACAUCACGUCUCCAGUCCUGGAUACUCAGAGGUUUCCGAGAAUAGAGCAGCAGCCAGCACAGAAUUCCGGGUGCUGCACAGAGAUCGAGGGGGGGGUCCACGUGUUAAGUCAUCUUAUCCCCUAUCCUUUGGAUAGUGGAUAAGAUGUCUAUGGGUGGCGUACCCCUUUAGUACAGCCCUGAGAUUACCAGAAGCGGAUACCUAUUUCACUUUGACUUCAUUUAUGUAAAAGGAUCCAUCUUUUUUGUAACCAUAAAAAAUUUGUCUCCAGGAGAUAUAAUGGACACCCUAAUAAAACAUCUCAAGAU